rnacentral:rRNA from 1 species
UGGAUUUGCGACAUGGGCGCAGCCUGAUCCAGCAUGCCGCGUGAGUGAUGAAGGCCUUCGGGUUGUAAAGCUCUUUCGGCCGGGACGAUGAUGAGCGGACCCGACGUUGUACCGCUGACAGUUUCGGGCCAACAACCCCGGUAAUAAUACAUGCCAGCAGCCGCGGUAAUA